UACGUAGGGGGCAAGCGUUGUCCGGAAUUAUUGGGCGUAAAGAGCGUGUAGGCGGUCCGGUAAGUCAGCUGUGAAAGUCAAGGGCUCAACCCUUGAAAGCCGGUUGAUACUGUCGGGCUAGAGUCCGGAAGAGGCGAGUGGAAUUCCCGGUGUAGCGGUGAAAUGCGCAGAUAUCGGGAGGAACACCAAUGGCGAAGGCAGCUCGCUGGGACGGUACUGACGCUGAGACGACGAAAGCGGUGGGGAGCAAACAGG
rnacentral:rRNA from 1 species